rnacentral:lncRNA from 1 species
AUGAGGUCGACUUUCUAAUGAUCUCGAUCUUGUAAUGAGGUUAGCUUUCUGAUGUGGUCAACUUUCUGAUGAGCUCGAUCUCUUGAUGAGGUCAGUCUUCUGUUGAGCUCGAUCUUUUGAUGAGCUCGACCUCCUCAUGAUCUCGAUCUCCUAAUAAGGUCGAUUUUCUGAUGGUUUUAGUCUCCCAAUGAGGAUAGCUUUUCGAUGAGCUUGGCUUUCUUAUGAGCCCUUCUGAUGAGCUUUGCUUUUUGAUGAGGUUGGUCU